rnacentral:rRNA from 1 species
CCUACGGGAGGCUGCAGUGAGGAAUAUUGGUCAAUGGACGCAAGUCUGAACCAGCCAUGCCGCGUGCAGGAAGACGGCUCUAUGAGUUGUAAACUGCUUUUGUACGAGGGUAAACGCAGAUACGCGUAUCUGUCUGAAAGUAUCGUACGAAUAAGGAUCGGCUAACUCCGUGCCAGCAGCCGCGGUAAUACGGAGGAUUCGAGCGUUAUCCGGAUUUCUUGGUUUUAAAGGGUGCGUAGGCGGUCGGAUAAGUUUGUGGUGAAAUCCCGAGGCUCAACUCCGGAAUUGCCUCUGAUACUGGUCGGCUAGAGAGUAGGUGCGGUAGGCGGAAUGUAUGGUGUAGCGGUGAAAUGCUUAGAGAUCAUACAGAACACCGAUUGCGAAGGCAGCUUACUAAGCUACAUCUGACGUUGAGGCACGAAAGCGUGGGGAGCAAACAGGAUUAGAUACCCCGGUAGUC